rnacentral:tRNA from 1 species
UUCUCUAUAACAAAAAUUAAGUGAACGAUUUUGAAAAUCGUUCCAGAGAUAAACCAAGAGAAU